rnacentral:rRNA from 1 species
AUGAAGACCUUCCCCAUCAUUUCCCUCCUUGCCAUGGCGAUGACCAUAGCCACCGCCACCACCACCAUGCAGCUCGACCCUAGCGUCCAUGUGCUACAAAGGCCACAACAACCAUUUCUAGAGCAAGAGUUGAAUGCCUGCACGGAGUUUAUAUUGCAACAAUGCAGCCCCAUAUCAUCAAGUGAAUCGGGUUUGAGAGUAUUCCGGAAACAGAUUGUUGUCCUGUCACAAUUUGGCCUACGAAGCAGUGGUUGCGAGUUGAUGCAGCAACAAUGCUGUGAGCAGCUAGCACAGAUAUCUGAUCAAGACCGAUGCACAGCCAUCCAUAGCAUCGCACACGCCAUCAUCGUACAACAAGAACAACAACAACAACAACAGGUGGGUCAAGAUUUCCCACAGUCCCAACAACAACAACAACAACAACCGGGCCAGGGUACAGUUGUCCAGCCUCAACAACAACUUGGCCAGGGCUUCAUCCAACCUCAACAACUAGCUCAGCUCCAAUCGAUUAUGUCGUUGGUGCUACAAACCCUGCCAACGAUGUGUAAUGUGCAUGUCACACCUUAUUGCUCCAUGAUCACUACACCAGUUGGCAGCAUCAUUUUUGGUGAUGGCCAGUAA